AAUCGGAAAAGCUUCGUCGUCGCCCAUUUCUCCGACCCUCCCUAUUCAAGUCGGCCCACCUCCAGCGGAGCCCUCGCUCUCCACCCGACCCUCGCUCGUCUCCUGUUCCUUUCGAAACCCCCCUCCUCCAUCUCCCCCAAAUUGUUAGGGCUUCUCGGGGUUUCCAACCCCAGAAACCCUAAUUUCUAACCCCGAUUCUGCCCUAAGCCUUCGAUCUCCAUGCCCUUGAUCCCUGCGUCGGCCUGAUCCAUGGAGUUCAACCAGGACCUGGGAUUCGAGCGGUACUGCCGCCUGUCGAACACCACCCACUCGGAGAUCGCUCCUUCCUUGUCCCUGCCCUCGCUCCCCGUGUGCUUUGGGUCCUUCGACCAGCAGCUCGGCCUCUCCGACGUGCCCGGAGGGUCCCGCUCCGGCGACCGCCCGGAUAUUCUCGCGCACGCGGGAACGAUCGCGGAGCUGCUUAGGAAUUGCGAUGUUGACUACUUAAAUCUCAAGGAAAACGCGAGAGUCGUUCCUGAUGACUUGGGGGACCGUUCGAGGCUCUAUCAAGAAGUCGUCAAGUAUAACCCCGAUGCCUUUAAGUGUUUCUAUCGAGUUUCUCAGGUCCUCUUCAGGAGCAGAGAAGGUCUAAUCAAACGAUAGAAAAGAAACCCUUUGGACAAGGUGUUUCCCAUGUACAAAGGGAUAAUGGGGGUGAAUGUGAUGACCGGUCAGAAAAGAACUUGAUCAUUGAACCACCUUCUUUUGCUUCCUCAAGAAAACCGAAAAUAAAAAAGAAAGAAAGUGAUUCUGUUCCAUCAUCUGCGGGGCCAGAUCUUCUUGACCAUCAAGGAAUAGUUGGAAGCUUUUGUGAGAUGGCUGAAGAUUUUUGUGGGAGGGCAGAGAUACCUGAUGAUGCGGAAGGUGCAGAGGUGUCAUCUAUUCCGCUGACUGACAUUAAAACACUUCUAAAUCAGAUAAUGUCUAUACGUUCAAAGAAAGUCUUGCAGUUAAUUCCACUCAACACUCUUGUGAGACUCAUAAAUAUUUUAGAUCGUCAAAUACAAUGUGCACAAGGCCUGUCGAUUGAUGGAAAUGACAAUGCUGAUGCCGAUGCUGCAAACUUGGUCCUGUGUGCUUUGGAGUCUACUCAUGCAUCACUGGGAAUUAUGGCCCAUCAAGAUAUGCCAAAGCAGCUAUAUAGAGAAGAAGUCAUUGAAAGAAUUCUUGAUUUCUCAAGACAUCAGAUCAUGGAAAUCAUCGCAGCAUGUAAUCCAUUGCACAGUCUUCCCAAACCAAGUGAAAAUGCUCCUUUUGAUGGUGAUGAGGAAGAUGAUGAUGAUGUAGAUAAUACCAAUAGUUCAUUAGCCAAAAGAAGGCGCUAUAAUAGGAAUGUGAAUCUGAGGAAGUCUUCCGGAAGCAAAAUUUCAGCACCAGUGUAUGGUGUGGUUCAGAAACUUUGCUCAAUUCUAGGCUUUCUCAAGGAUCUAUUGUCUGUGGAGCGACUCUCAGAUAGUUGCAUUCUACAGUUGGUUAAGACCAGUUUUUCAACUUUCUUGGCAGAUAACAUUCAGCUCUUGCAAUUAAAGUCUAUAAAUUUAAUAUGUGGGGUGUAUUCUUCAUACACACAGCACCGGAGUUUCUUGAUAGAUGAAACGCUGCAGCUUCUUCGGAAGUUACAAUUCAACAAACGGGCUAUUAGAGCUUAUCAUCUCCCCGAUGAGGAACAAAAACAGAUUCAGAUGAUAACAGCUUUGUUGAUUCAAUUGGUGCAAUUCAGUAGCAAUCUUCCUGAAAGUUUGAAGACAGCAGCAAACUGGAAUGCAGUUUUAGAUAUAUCAUCUGAUUCAAGUAGCCCAGCUAAAUCUUAUGAAGCUGCAACUCAAACCUGUUGUCUUUUCUGGACCAGUGUUCUUCAGCGUUUGACCACUGCAAAAUCUCAAGAUGUAUCAGAGUCGAAGAUGAUCUUAGAGAAUAUUAUCAUGGAUCUGCUGACGACUUUGAAUUUACCUGAAUAUCCUGCUUCUGCUCCAAUAUUGGAGGUUCUCUGUGUCUUGCUGCUUCAAAAUGCUGGAUUGAAAUCUAAAGAUAUCUCAGCACGUUGCAUGGCUGUUGACCUUCUAGGAAUGAUUGCAGCAAGGCUGAAACGUGAUGCUGUGACUUGCAGCAGGGAUAGGUUCUGGAUCCUACAAGAGCUGGUCGAUGCAAAUGAUGAUAUUUCCGUUGGCACGAAAGAUGCAUGCUCUGUUUGUCUUAAAAGAAGAGGUGCAAACAUCAUCUGUCAUCUCUGCAAGAGAUGCUUUCAUCCUGAUUGCUUGGGAAUUUCGGGACAAGAAAUGUUGCUUCGGGACUGGUCUUGUCAUAUAUGUCUAUGCAAGAAGCAGCUAAUUACUCUGCAUUCAUACUGCAAUAUGCAGAGCAAGGAUAAUGCUAAGAUAAGCUUAGUUUCUGCUAGCACCACUUCUGGAGAUUCUGACUGUGUCACGAAAUUGGAAGUUGUUCAACAAAUUCUUUUGAACCAUCUGCAACAAAAUGGUUCCGAAGAUGAUGUGAAUUUGUUUACUCGCUGGUUUUAUCUUUGCUUGUGGUACAAGGACGACUCUCAAUCUCAAGAAAGGGUUAUUUAUUAUCUUGCUAGACUAAAGUCAAAGGCCAUUUUGCGGGACUCUGGUAGUUCUUUAUUGUUGUCAAGAGAUGGGGCUAAGAAGAUAUGCUUGGCACUUGGGCAAAAUAAUUCUUUCUCUAGGGGAUUUGACAAAAUUCUUUCACUGCUCUUGGCAAGCUUGAGGGAGAACUCUCCAGUUUUGCGAGCCAAGGCAUUAAGAGCAGUCAGUGCCAUAGUUGAAGCUGAUCCUGAGGUUUUAUGUGAUAAACGUGUCCAAUGUGCUGUUGAAGGAAGGUUUUGUGACUCUGCGAUCUCAGUUCGGGAAGCUGCUCUUGAACUUGUUGGCAGACAUAUUGCUUCUCAUCCUGGAGUUGGUUUGAAGUAUUUUGAAAAAGUUGCUGAACGGAUAAAGGAUACCGGAGUCAGUGUGCGCAAACGUUCCAUUAGAAUUAUCCGCGACUUGUGUAUUUCUGAAUCAAACUUCUCUGAAGCAACUCGUGCUUUUAUUGAGAUCAUUUCUCGUGUUACCGAUGAGGAAUCAAGCGUACAGGAUUUAGUAUGCAAAACAUUCUUUGAACUUUGGUUCGAGGAACCAACUGGAAGUCAGAAGCACUUGAUAGCUGAUGGUAGCUCUGUACCUAUGGAAGUAGCAAAGAAGACUGAGCAGAUUGUUGAUAUGCUGAGAAAUAUGCCUAACAGUCAUCAUCUUGUUACAGUUAUAAAGCGUAAUUUAACACUUGAUUUUCUUCCCCAAUCGGCUAAAGCUACUGGGAUAAAUGCAGCUUCUUUGGCAUCUGUGCGUAAACGCUGUGAAUUGAUUUGCAAACGUUUAUUAGAAAGAAUAUUGCAGGUAGAGGAGGAGACUAGUGAUAAAGAGGAAGUUUGUGCACUCCCAUAUGUUCUUGCUUUGCAUUCAUUUUGCGUUGUGGAUCCAACACUUUGUGCUCCAUCCACCGAUCAAUCACAAUUUGUUAUAACUCUUCAGCCAUACCUUAAGAAUCAGGUUGACAACAAAUCAGUUGCUCAGCUGCUCGAAAGCAUAAUAUAUGUAGUCAAUGCUGUUCUGCCAUUGCUUCGGAAGCCACCACAGAGUGUUAUUGAGGAACUUGAACAGGACCUUAAGCACAUGAUUGUUCGCCAUUCUUUCCUGACAGUCGUUCAUGCUUGUAUCAAGUGCCUUUGUUCGCUUAGUAAAAUUGCUGGCAAAGGUUCAAGUAUUGUCGAAUAUUUGAUUCACAUUUUCUUCAAGCAUUUGCAAGGUUCAGGUUCUGAUAAUAUGCAGCUUUUGGGUCGUUCACUUUUCUGCCUUGGGCUUCUUCUAAGGUAUGGGGGAGAGCUAAUAGUUAAGACUGAUAGUCAACAUGUUCAUAUUGACAAGAGUCUCUCAUUACUGAAAAGAUAUCUUGUCAUGGAGGACUUUGGCUUAAAGGUUCGAGCUUUACAGGCAUUAGGCUAUAUAUUGAUUUCUAGUCCUGAGUAUAUGUUGGAAAAAGACAUUGGGAAAAUAUUAGAGGCCUCACUGGCCUCUAGUGCUGAUUUCAGGCUUAAGACGCAAGCAUUGCAAAACCUGUAUGAAUAUCUUCUUGAUGCGGAAACCAAAAUGGGUACAGAUUGUGGCAGUAAGAAUGCAACUUCACAUACUGAAGGUGCUGGAAACAAAGUGCCUGUAGCUGCAGGUGCAGGUGAUACUAAUAUUUGUGGAGGAAUUGUUCAGCUUUAUUGGAACAGUAUUCUUGAAAGAUGCUUGGAUGGCAAUGACCAAAUUCGUCAAACUUCUCUCAAGAUUGUGGAAAUUGUACUACGUCAAGGACUAGUCCAUCCUAUUACGUGUGUUCCAUACCUCAUAGCUCUUGAAAUUGAUCCACUGGAUGUGAAUUCAAAAUUGGCCCAUCACUUGUUGAUGAACAUGAAUGAGAAGUAUCCUGCUUUUUUUGAAAGCCGUUUGGGUGAUGGCCUUCAGAUGUCAUUUAAAUUUGUUCAGUGCAUAGCCAGUAAUCAUAAUUUGGUCUCAGGACUUCAAAAAGGUAAAUCUGAUGGUACUCCGAUAGCAUAUGUCCGGCCAGGUAUAUCUCGUAUAUACAGGCUUAUUCGAGGAAAUCGUAUUGCAAGGAACAAGUUCAUUCACUCAAUAGUGAGGAAAUUUGAGUCUGGUGGUGGGAAUUAUUUACCGAUUGGCUUUCUUGUAUAUUGCACAGAGAUUCUUGCAUCUCUCCCUUUCACAUGUCCUGAUGAACCCCUUUACUUGAUAUAUGAUAUCAAUCGAAUAAUACAAGUUAGGGCAGGCGCACUCGAGGCAAACAUGAAAACCUGGAGUUCUGUUUCGCAACACCGGGAUUCAUUGGAGAUGCCCAGUGAAAUUGACAAAGUUAAUGCCAAUUCUGGUUGGCCUAAUAUAUCUGAGCAUGAUUUCACAGAGAUUGCAGACAAGAUGUCAGACAGCUCACAUGGCAUUUCAACAGAAGACCUGCAGAAGUUUCAGGCUGAUUGUCAUGAGGCAAUUGCUCUGCAACUCCUAUUGAAGCUGAAAAGGCACUUGAAAAUUGUGUAUGGUCUAAAUGAUGCCAGGUGUCAGGCGUUUUCUUUAAAGGAGCUUCCAAAGCCUGGAGAGACGAUUUCUAAGCAAAACAUUCCUUUCAACAUUAGUGACACUCCAAUCAGUUUGCCUACAUCCUAUCAAGCCAUGGUUGAAAAGUAUCAGGAGUUCAAGGUAUCGUUGAGAGACGAUGCAAUAGACUAUUCUACAUAUACAGCUAGUGUCAAGAGGAAACGCCCUACUCCAAGAAGUUCGAGAGGCGGAAAAGCUGCCCAACGAAAAGGUGAGGAAGACGAUGACGAUGUGGAUGAUGAAGACUGGACAGGUGGGCCACGCGUGCUUGAUUUCAGUGGCCAAAGGAGUAAUGGUAUGCGGAUGACCAGGCAACGGUUGCAAGUGUAACAGAUGUGUAGCUUUUCUGUACAUUACAGGAACAUCGCAGUAGGGUUGGCAGUAUUGGUACAUAGAAGUAACAAAAAGUGGGCAAGGCUUUGGUUGUAGUUAGUUAGGUGGCCUCAUUUAACUGGAGCGGCUGAUGUGUCCCGUCCCCAAGCCCCUUUGGUAUUUUCUCGUUGGGCUGCUGUUCUAAGGACCGUCAAGAAUGUGCUCCAGCUUCAAAGUGUCAAGUGCGCCGCUGCCGAGUCGUGUGACGCUCCUUGUCGAAGCUCAAGUUUCUAUCUUUGAUGGAGUGUCUGCAGUUGAAUACAUCAACACAAUGUGCCUUAAAUGUCGGGACGUAGCACUUCAUUAUUUUUUGGGAGGAGGGAGAAGACAGCAAAAGCGAACUCGAGGGUUAUGUUCACGUUUUGUUUUUAUAUUCUUUUUCACAUCACAAUAUUCUGAUCGCUUUAUCCUUUUUAUUCUUUUCUGAUGUCACAAUGUGACAGGCAGACUGGCCUCCUUCCUCUUCCGUAGCAUACCCAUCAGGUGAGCUCGAUGCCUGCAGGACGACGUCCGGAUCUCAGCUCGCGUUAAGAUGCGUUGCUUGGGUCCCACGUCUACGUUGCGUGUCGUUUGGACA